ensembl:snRNA U6 U6 spliceosomal RNA
AUAUAUACUAACAUAUAUACUAACACUGGAAUGAUAGAGAUUAGCACGGCCCCUCUACAAGGAUGACACGCACAUUCAUGACGUGUUCCAUUUUGUU